rnacentral:rRNA from 1 species
UACGAAGGGGGCUAGCGUUGCUCGGAAUCACUGGGCGUAAAGCGCACGUAGGCGGAUCCUUAAGUCGGGGGUGAAAUCCUGGAGCUCAACUCCAGAACUGCCUUCGAUACUGAGGAUCUCGAGUCCGGGAGAGGUGAGUGGAACUGCGAGUGUAGAGGUGAAAUUCGUAGAUAUUCGCAAGAACACCAGUGGCGAAGGCGGCUCACUGGCCCGGUACUGACGCUGAGGUGCGAAAGCGUGGGAGCAAACAGG